rnacentral:rRNA from 1 species
UAGUCCACGCCGUAAACGAUGGACACUAGUUGUUGGACUUAUUCAGUGACUAAGCGAAAGUAAUAAGUGUCCCACCUGGGGAGUACGAUCGCAAGAUUGAAACUCAAAGGAAUUGACGGGGGCCCGCACAAGCGGUGGAGCAUGUGGUUUAAUUCGAUGAUACGCGAGGAACCUUACCAGGGCUUAAAUGUAGACUGACAGCUUUAGAGAUAGAGUUUUCUUCGGACAGUUUACAAGGUGCUGCAUGGUUGUCGUCAGCUCGUGUCGUGAGGUGUCAGGUUAAGUCCUAUAACGAGCGCAACCCCUAUCGUUAGUUGCUAGCAGGUAAAGCUGAGGACUCUAGCGAGACUGCCGGUGCAAACCGCGAGGAAGGUGGGGAUGACGUCAAAUCAUCACGGCCCUUACGUCCUGGGCUACACACGUGCUACAAUGGUCGUGACAAAGAGUUGCUAGUCUGCGAAGGCAAGCCAAUCUCAUAAACGCGGCCUUAGUUCGGAUUGCAGG